rnacentral:rRNA from 1 species
UACGGGGGGGGCAAGCGUUGUUCGGAAUUACUGGGCGUAAAGGGCUCGUAGGCGGCCAACUAAGUCAGACGUGAAAUCCCUCGGCUUAACCGGGAAACUGCGUCUGAUACUGGUUGGCUUGAAUCCGGGAGAGGGAUGUGGAAUUCCAGGUGUAGCGGUGAAAUGCGUAGAUAUCUGGAGGAACACCGGUGGCGAAGGCGGCAUCCUGGACCGGUAUUGACGCUGAGGAGCGAAAGCCAGGGGAGCAAACGGG